GCUCUGGUAAAGAAAUUCAAAUUCAUGCCCCACCCCCCAGACCUACUGAAUUAGAAACUGGGGGUAGAGCCCAGCAGUCUGAGUUUUAAUCACCAAUCCAGCUGAUUCCAAUCCUUUCUUGAAGAAUCACUAUGGUUAUAAUCCACCGUCAACCGUUCACCGGCUGGGUGACCUUGGGACUAAUCGUUGAGCUUCCUUUUUCUCAUCUGUAAAAUGGGCAUGCUGCAGACCUGCCCAGUCCACUCAACAGUAUCCCUACAAAGAUGAACAUGUAGUAUCAGAUGUGAUUGUAUUUUGCGAAGCCUCCAGUGCUGGACCUUUGUAAAGUAGUAUUAAUUGUAAUAAUCCUUCCAUUUAUUGAAUACUACCCAUGUUCCAGGAACUGUUUAGGCAUUGUUUCACUCAGUCACCACCACAAACGUGUGACGUACAUAACACCACCCUCAUUUUUCAGAUAAGGAAACUCAGGCUUUGAGAAUUUAGGAAACUUGCUCACGGCAACCCAGCAGAGCCAAGCUAGAACCCAGGGAGAAGGUGGCUGUCUACAAGCCAGGAAGGGAGCUCUCACAAGAAACUGGAUCAGCUGGCACCUUGAUGUUGGACUUGCCAACCUCUAGAACUCUCUGCAAUUCUGAAAGCGUGUGUCAAGAUGGAACUUCCAUCAAUCUGGGGCUCUAAGUAAUGGUGAUGAGCAGAACCUUCUUGCCCACCUACAGUAGAUAUUUAGCAUAUGUGAGAAAUAUGCUCUGCUGGGUUAAGCAAAAAGAACAAGAAGCAAGCAAAAAACCAAACAGACUGUGGCUUUCAUCAUGGUCUCUCUCUCUUGGAUCACACACUCUGGGGGAAGCUACCUGCCACUUCGUGAAGACACUCAGGCAGCUUAUGAAGAGGCAGAGUGGUCAGAGACUGAAGUAUUUGGCCAAUAGCCCAUGUGGGAUAGAGACCUGCCAACAACUGCAGGAGUGAGCUGAGAAGCUCUUCCUAUAGUCAAGCCUUCAGAUGAUGGCAGUCUUAAGAGAAACCUGGAGUCAGAACAACCCAGCUAAGCCACGCCCAGAUUCCUGACCUCCAGAAACUGCAUGAGAUAACAAAUGCUGGCCAUUUAAAGCUGCUAAAUUUGGGGGUAACUUGUUACACAACAAAAAAUAACUAAUACACACUGGCAGGGCCACAGUAUGACUUUUGUGGGCCCCAGGCACCUUUGCCUUUGUAGGUGUCUUCCUCCAAAAAUAUUAAAAGUUCUAUUUGUGACCAUGUUGAUAUAAAGACAAAUAUGAUCCAGACUGGAUUCAUUAUUAUAUAUUCAUUAUCAUUAUAUCCACUUUUGUCUUCUGAUUUUAAAAGAAAUAAAAGUUAAAACAUUUUUGUAGGCCCUGAAGUAUAGGGGCCUAGACACUGUGCCUUCCAUGUCAGAUGGAUGUCAGCCCUGCACAUGGGAAGAGCAUGGGAGGGACAUGCAGUUACUGAUGAAAGCUGAAUACCGAAGAAUUGGUUACUGGCCCUGACAGUCCUCAAGUUCAAGGAAGAAGCCAAAUACCUGGGAAUACUUAGUAUUUGGGAAAAAUCCUAUCCUCUGUGGAUCCUAUUGGGUCCUAUAUCUCAGGUAACCAGGGGAACUGAGUGCAAGCUGCUCUAAGUUAUUACUAAAAGGCAAUGACAUGACCUGCACUUGUUGGGUCCAAACCACACAGGAUCCCAUGAAAGCUGGUGUAUCAGCUAUGACUAUUCAGGUGACGUGGGCUGUGUAACACUGGGUUCUGGACUCAAUCUCUUCCUGAAGCUGAUGUCUCAUACUCACAAUUUGAAUUAAAUCUGGAGGCAGUAAAGUCUUUUGAUUCACAGACACAGAAUCUAGCAGGCUUGAGUUUAAAUCCUACCUGUGGUCCUUCCUGGCUGUGUUGUCUUUGGCAAUUUUUCAACCUCAAGCCUAAAGUUUCUCCAUCUACAGUAUACAUUCCACCAGUCAACAGCAUAAAACAUGGCCCCCCAAAAUGGCAAGUGGUUCCAUCCCAUAGACUAUCUUCAAAGUCAAAAGAGUUGUUACAAAAUUGGAGUGAGGGAUUAGAUAGUUCCACCUGAUGAAACGAUUAUAAAUAUAUGAAGUCUAUGAAGGAAAUGAUAACAUAUUACUGAAGGACGUGAAAGAAGAUCUGAAUAAAGGGACAGAUGUACUAUGUUGAUUCAGGAAAACACUCCAUU
ensembl:lncRNA